AUGUGUGGCCAUGCCACCCUAAACGCAUCUGUUCGCCAUAGCUAAGCAGGAUUGAACCUGGUUAGUAAAUGGAUGGAGAAUUUCUGGGAAUACUGGGUGCUAUAUGCU
ensembl:rRNA 5S_rRNA 5S ribosomal RNA